UUCGAAUCAUUCACAAUGGGGGGCAACCCUGAUGGUGCAACGCCGCGUGAGGGAUGAAGGCCCUCGGGUCGUAAACCUCUGUCACCGGGGAGCAACACGCAGGUUCAUAGCCUGCCCUGAGUUAACCCGGAGA
rnacentral:rRNA from 1 species